rnacentral:rRNA from 1 species
UACGGAGGGGGCUAGCGUUGUUCGGAAUUACUGGGCGUAAAGCGCACGUAGGCGGCUUUGCAAGUCAGAGGUGAAAGCCCGGGGCUCAACCCCGGAAUUGCCUUUGAGACUGCAUCGCUAGAAUUGUGGAGAGGUAAGUGGAAUUCCGAGUGUAGAGGUGAAAUUCGUAGAUGUUCGGAAGAACACCAGUGGCGAAGGCGACUUACUGGACACAUAUUGACGCUGAGGUGCGAAAGCGUGGGGAGCAAACAGG